AGAAUCAACGCUGGCGGCGUGCCUAACACAUGCAAGUCGAACGCGAAAGUGGAGCAAUCCAUUAGUAGAGUGGCAAACGGGUGAGUAACACGUGGGCGACCUACCUCAGAGUGGGGGAUAACCUUCCGAAAGGAGGGCUAAUACCGCAUGACAUCCCGUGUUUGGAUGCACGGAGAUCAAAGCCGGGGAUCGCAAGACCUGGCGUCUUGGAGAGGGCCCGCGUCCGAUUAGCUAGUUGGUGAGGUACGGCUCACCAAGGCUCCGAUCGGUA
rnacentral:rRNA from 1 species